GAAUGACUAUUUUUUGCAAUCUAAGGCCCUUUUUUGGUGAGAUAUAGAGAUUCUACAUAUCUAUAUAACUGUCUAUUUUUCCUUUUUUUGUCAUUUCCACCCUGUGUAGGGAUGAUUUGCAGCCCCAGAGAGGAGAGGAAGCUAAAAAUCAGACUUAAGAACAUUUUACAGAUGAGAUGAAGAAUUUGAGACUCAGAAGGGUUCAAUGAUUUGUCCAAGACCACGUAAUAAGUGAUGAUGAAUCCUAGAUUAGGAUCUAGGUUCCAAACUCAAAAUGAGCAUAUUUUAUACUCUACCGGCAUUGCUUCCUAUAAUAAUGGAGAUGUUCAUUUCUGAAACAAAAACCCCUGAUUAAAUAAGCAAUUAAUUUAAUAAAGAGAUAGAUGAGAAAGGAACCAACAACGCUUAUUUGCCAGGAUACUACGCCUUCAUCUUGAAUGCUGAAUCUCAGAAGGUAACACCUCAAAAUCCUUUUCAUUGAUUUUGGUUUGUUUUCACUUGGCUUCCUGGGUAAAGAGCUUCUCAAUCUCUUCGGUGCAGGGUAAUUGGAGGCAAAUGGCCCCUGUAAAACAGGAUGGAGACAGCAUUCAAGCAAAGUGCCUAUAAUCUUUGACUCUACAAAGCAUCUCAAAGAUCCUCCACCAGUCUUCUCUUCUCCUCAGGGUUGGGAUGGAACACGUCUAUGGGACCAGGUCUAAUUGCUUGCUGUUCAGAGAGGCAUUCUGCAAGAGGGAGAGAGAAUCAAACACUAUCAGUUCCCAUGGAUGUGAAGCAGUGUGUGGUAGAGGCAGGCCAUAGAGAGCUGAGCUUGGAGCCAUGGUGGUUGGGUUCUAAAUUCUAUCUUUCAUACCUAAUGGAUGUACUAAUUGGGGAAGGCACCUUUCAGUGCCUUAGGCGGCUCUCUAAGACUUCAUGAAGUUUCAAAAGUACUGAACUUUCCUACUUUAAUUUCCUUAAGAAGAUAGGGAAUUUCCUCUUCCCCAAGUUUCCUGUACUGAUGAAAUCAGAUGUCUAGUCCUUGUCCCUAUUUGUCAUGUAGAAAAAGAAAAGGCCAUCAUUGAUUAUUGUCAGUCUCACUUUUUGUCCAGAAUAUUGGUAUGCCUACCUCACAGAUGAAGAAACUGAGGCUCAUGAAUGUAGUAUGACUUGCUUAUGGUCAUACCCUGUGCAUGGCAUAGGUGGAACUCAAAUUCAAGACAUCUGACUCCCUCCAGAUCAUCGGAACAAUAAUAAAAACUCACAUUGAUGGAGCA
rnacentral:lncRNA from 1 species